GUGAGGAAUUUUCCGCAAUGGGCGAAAGCCUGACGGAGCAAUGCCGCGUGAAGGAUGAAGGCCUAUGGGUUGUAAACUUCUUUUCUCAGAAAAGAAUUAUGACGGUAUCUGAGGAAUAAGCAUCGGCUAACUCUGUGCCAGCAGCCGCGGUAAGACAGAGGAUGCAAGCGUUAUCCGGAAUGAUUGGGCGUAAAGCGUCUGUAGGUUGUUUAAAAAGUAUUCUGUUAAAGAUUAGGGCUUAACCCUAGAUAGUCAGAAUAAACUUUUAAGCUAGAGUUUGGUAGAGGCAGAGGGAAUUCCCGGUGGAGCGGUGAAAUGCGUAGAUAUCGGGAGGAACACCAAAGGCGAAGGCACUCUGCUGGGCCAAUACUAACACUGAGAGACGAAAGCGAGGGGAGCAAAUGGGAUUAGAAACCCGAGUAGUCC
rnacentral:rRNA from 1 species